ACGGAGGGUGCGAGCGUUAAUCGGAAUCACUGGGCGUAAAGCGCGCGUAGGCGGCUUGGCAAGUCAGGCGUGAAAUCCCUCGGCCUAACCGGGGAACUGCGUUUGAAACUGCUAGGCUUGAGUUCGGGAGAGGGUGGCGGAAUUCCCGGUGUAGGAGUGAAAUCCGUAGAUAUCGGGAGGAACACCAGUGGCGAAGGCGGCCACCUGGACCGAUACUGACGCUGAGGCGCGAAAGCGUGGGGAGCAAACAG
rnacentral:rRNA from 1 species